GGGGGCUUGGCGCAGCUGGGAGCGCGUCUGACUGGCAGUCAGAAGGUCAGGGGUUCAAGUCCCCUAGUCUCCACCA
rnacentral:tRNA from 1 species